rnacentral:rRNA from 1 species
CGUAACAAGGUCUCCGUAGGUGAACCUGCGGAGGGAUCAUUACACAAAUAUGAAGGCGGGCUGGAACCUCUCGGGGUUACAGCCUUGCUGAAUUAUUCACCCUUGUCUUUUGCGUACUUCUUGUUUCCUUGGUGGGUUCGCCCACCACUAGGACAAACAUAAACCUUUUGUAAUUGCCAUCAGCGUCAGUAACAAAUUAAUAAUUACAACUUUCAACAACGGAUCUCUUGGUUCUGGCAUCGAUGAAGAACGCAGCGAAAUGCGAUAAGUAGUGUGAAUUGCAGAAUUCAGUGAAUCAUCGAAUCUUUGAACGCACAUUGCGCCCUUUGGUAUUCCAAAGGGCAUGCCUGUUCGAGCGUCAUUUGUACCCUCAAGCUUUGCUUGGUGUUGGGCGUCUUGUCUCUAGCUUUGCUGGAGACUCGCCUUAAAGUAAUUGGCAGCCGGCCUACUGGUUUCGGAGCGCAGCACAAGUCGCACUCUCUAUCAGCAAAGGUCUAGCAUCCAUUAAGCCUUUUUUUCAACUUUUGACCUCGGAUCAGGUAGGGAUACCCGCUGAACUUAAGCAUAUCA